UUGCACUCAGUGUAUUCUCCAGCCAUGUGAAGAAGGAUGUGUUUGCUCCCCCUUCAGCCAUGAUUAUACCUUGACUAUGAAUAAUAGUUUCAAUAAGGAAGACAGAAUGAGUUCUGACACGAUGGUUGGGAGCUGUGACAGGCAGACGAAAAAUGGAGCCAAAUGGCAUGGAGGUGUGUCAUCACUGCUGGAUUUUACCUUGAUCUACAUUCAGUUAUCUACUUCUUUUCAAAAUGCUGGGCAUUCAUUCAAGAAACAGCAUAUAUGUUCUGACUUUGAAGUAAUGGAUGAACUGUCAUGUGCAGUAUAUGGAAAUAAGUUUUAUUACCUUCUUCCCACAUUAACUCAUCCAUCCAUUCAAUAGCCAUUUAUUGAGAAGCUCACUCUGUGUUAGGCACAGUGGUGUCAUGAUGUUGGAACAGUAACAAUAACUCAACCAACCAGGGCUUGUCUGAAUACAAUCCUACAGCAGCAGGAGCUGUGGAGAUAUAGAAGGCAAGGAAGACCAGGUUGUGAGGGAAGACGAAUUUACUCCCAGGAAUGUUGGGAUUGAGAGUAAUAUUCUCCAAUAAUGGUGGAAGACAGAACAAUAAAAGCCCACCAGCUCCUUCUGCAUGGUGGGAUAAGAGAAAAGCCAAGGGCAGAAGUGAGAAAAAUAACCAUCACCAAACUGAAAAGAAAACCUUUAUAAAAAAACUGGAUUGAUAAAUGACCUUUAGUAGUGGAAAGAUACCAUUCCAAUGAAGCAUGAAUUGAAAGGAUUUCUUCUGAAAGCUAAUUUACAUUUUUCUUUUUUUUUUUUUCAUUUUCAGUGUGUUUUAGCAGGUGUAUUGUUCUACAUGGUUAGUUUCUUUACCUCUUUGAGAAAAAUGGGUCAGCUUGACACAUCUGGAUGAAAGAAUCCGUUAGGUGAUUAUGAUUGAAGACAGAUUAAGCCUUGUUAUGAGGGGAAUAUUUGGGGGCUUACCCUGAGGUGAUAUUUGAUGAUUUAGCUGUGGGAGAAUUUCCCUCCCAAGAUCAGCGUGACUGACACUGAAAUUGCUACAGGGGAACCGGACCUUUCCAAGAGGUGACAAGGACAUUUACCUGGUACAACACAAUGGUUCUGGACUGGAAGUCUAGUCCCAUUGAUGAAGUUCCCAAAAGAUGUCCAGGUCCUAAUCCCUGGAAUCUGUGAAUAUGUCAUCUUACACAUCAAAAGAACUUUGAAAAUGUGAUUGAGGUUAAGGACCUUGGAAUGAGGAGAUUACCUUGGAUUAUCUGGUUGGGUCCAAGCUAAUCACAUGAGUCCUUAAAGGAGAAGAACCUUUUUUAGCUGGGUCAGAGAGAGAUGUGAUGAUGAAAACAGGCUCAGGGAGAUGCACUGUAAGAAGGGCUUGACCAGUUGUUUUUGACUUUGAAGAUGGAGGGAAGGGCCAGGAGCCAAGGAAGGUGGGUGGCUUUUGGAAGGUGGAAAAAGCAAGGGAACAUUCUCUCCAGAGCCUCCAGAAAGGAGCUCAGCCCUGUUGACAUCUUUGUUUUUAUUUUUUAUUUUUAGUAGCAUUGAGGUCUCACUAUGUUGCACAGGCUGGUCUUGAACUCUUGAGCUCAAGCACUCCUCCCGCCUUGGCUUCCCAAAGUGCUGGGAUUAUAGGCAUGUGCCACCACAUCUGGCUUCCUACUGACAUCUUAACUUUAGUGCAGUGAGACUCAUAUUUGAAUUUCUGACCUUAUAUUAUAGAACCAUAAGACAUUAUAGAAUUAUAUAGAAUUAUAGAACCAUAAGACAAUAACUUUGUGUUGUUUUAAGAUACUAAAUUUUUGGUAAUUUGUUAUGGCAGCACAAUAAAACCAAUAUAGCAUUAUAU
rnacentral:lncRNA from 1 species